UACGGGGGGAGCAAGCGUUGUUCGGAUUUACUGGGCGUAAAGGGCGCGUAGGUGGUUAUUUAAGUGAGAUGUGAAAUCCCUGGGCUUAACCUAGGAACUGCAUCUCAUACUGAGUAGCUAGAGUAUUGUAGAGGGUAGUGGAAUUCACGGUGUAGCAGUGAAAUGCGUAGAUAUCGUGAGGAAGACCAGUGGCGAAGGCGGAUCUCUGGACAGUUCCUGACACUGAGGCACGAAGGCCAGGGGAGCAAACGGG
rnacentral:rRNA from 1 species